UACGGAGUGUGCGAGCGUUGUCCGGAAUCAUUGGGCGUAAAGGGCGCGUAGGUGGCCCGGUCAGUUCGUGGUGAAAGCGCGGGGCUCAACCCUGCGUCGGCCAUGAAUACUGCCGCGGCUGGAGCACUGUAGAGGCAGGCGGAAUUCCGGGUGUAGCGGUGGAAUGCGUAGAGAUCCGGAAGAACACCGGUGGCGAAGGCGGCCUGCUGGGCAGUUGCUGACACUGAGGCGCGACAGCGUGGGGAGCAAACAGG
rnacentral:rRNA from 1 species